rnacentral:pre_miRNA from 1 species
ACCAUCGUAGGUCUCAUCUUUCUCAGCCCCUUAUUGCUUCCAUGACUAACCCCAAAGUUUGCUUCGACCUAGUGGAGUCUCCAAGUUCUUUUGUUAAGGUGAGGAGACAUUACAAUCUAGCAAAACAAGUUGUUGUAGAGAGAUGGCAAAGAAGUAGAUUGGAGCAGGCUCAAGAAAACAACUGCGGUGGUCGGUUGUGGUGAUGGAUGCAAUAAGGGGCUUAGAAAGAUGGGACCUACCGUGGG